rnacentral:rRNA from 1 species
CUACGGGUCGCUCCAGUGGGGAAUAUUGGACAAUGGGGGAAACCCUGAUCCAGCAAUGCCGCGUGUGUGAAGAAGGCCUGCGGGUUGUAAAGCACUUUCGGUUGGGAGGACUGCUUCUAGCACUAAUAUUGUUGGAAGUUGACGUUACCUUCAGAAGAAGCACCGGCUAACUCCGUGCCAGCAGCCGCGGUAAUACGGAGGGUGCAAGCCUUAAUCGGAAUUACUGGGAGUAAAGCGCGCGUAGGCGGCUAGAUCAGUCGGGUGUGAAAGCCCCGGGCUUAACCUGGGAACUGCAUCCGAUACUGUCUAGCUUGAGUACAGGAGAGGAGAGUGGAAUUCCACAUGUAGCGGUGACAUGCGUAGGUAUGUGGAGGAACACCAAUGGCGGAGGCAGCUCUCUGGCCUGAUACUGACGCUGAGGUGCGAAAGCGUGGGGAGCAAACAGGAUUAGAUACCCGCGUAGUC